rnacentral:rRNA from 1 species
UACGGAGGGAGCUAGCGUUGUUCGGAAUUACUGGGCGUAAAGCGCGCGUAGGCGGCUUUGUAAGUUAGAGGUGAAAGCCCGGGGCUCAACCCCGGAACUGCCUUUAAGACUGCAUCGCUUGAAUCCGGGAGAGGUGAGUGGAAUUCCGAGUGUAGAGGUGAAAUUCGUAGAUAUUCGGAAGAACACCAGUGGCGAAGGCGGCUCACUGGACCGGUAUUGACGCUGAGGUGCGGAAGCGUGGGGAGCAAACAGG